rnacentral:rRNA from 1 species
UAGUGAUCCGGUGGUUCUGCGUGGAAGGGCCAUCGCUCAACGGAUAAAAGCUACCCUGGGGAUAACAGGCUUAUCUCCCCCAAGAGUCCACAUCGACGGGGAGGUUUGGCACCUCGCUGUCGGCUCAGCACAUCCUGGGGCUGUAGUAGGUCCCAAGGGUUGGGCUGUUCGCCCAUUAAAGUGGUACGCGAGCUGGGUUCAGAACGUCGUGAGACAGUUCGGUCCCUAUCCGUCGCAGGCGGAGGAAAUUUGAGA